AUCAGCUUGUUGGUGAGGUAAUGGCUUACCAAGGCUACGACGGGUAGCGGGACUGAGAGGUUGGCCCGCCACAUCGGGACUGAGACACUGCCCGGACCUCCACGGAGGGCUGCAGUAACGGAUAUUGGGCAAUGGGCGAAAGCCUGACCUAGCAAUGCCGCGUGCAGGAUGAAGCCCCUCGGGGUGUAAACUGCUGUCAGGGGCAAGAAAGUCUUCGGAUUGAUCAGCCCCAAAGGAAGUCACGGCUAACUUCGUGCCAGCAGCCGCGGUAAUACGAAGGUGGCGAGCGUUAUUCGGAAUCAUUGGGCUUAAAGGGCACGCAGGCGGGAUAGCAAGUGUCAAGUGAAAUCCCCCGGCUUAACCGGGGAAUUGCUUGACAAACUGCUGUCCUUGAGACAGGCAGGGGUGCAUGGAACUCUUGGUGGAGCGGUGGAAUGCGUAGAUAUCAAGAGGAACGCCGGAGGUGAAGACGGUGCACUGGGCCUGUUCUGACGCUGAGGUGCGAAAGCGUGGGGAGCAAACGGGAUUAGAUACCCCGGUAGUCCACGCCGUAAACGAUGCCUACUAGGUUGUGGGAGUUCUGACGCUCUCACAGCCGCAGCAAAAGUGUUAAGUAGGCCGCCUGGGGAGUACGGCCGCAAGGUUAAAACUCAAAGGAAUUGACGGGGGCUCACACAAGCGGUGGAGCAUGUGGAUUAAUUCGAAGCAACGCGCAGAACCUUACCUGGGUUUGACAUGCUUGGAUGCCUGCCUGGAAACAGGUUAGGCUGCCCUUCGGGGUGAAACUUGCACAGGUGCUGCAUGGCUGUCGUCAGCUCGUGCCGUGAGAUGUCGGGUUAAGUCCUUUAACGAGCGAAACCCUUGCCGUUAGUUGCCAGCGGGUCAUGCCGGGGACUCUAACGGGACUGCCGGUGUUAAACCGGAGGAAGGUGGGGAUGACGUCAAGUCCUCAUGGCCUUUAUGCCCAGGGCUUCACACGUGCUACAAUGGCAGGUACAGAGGGAUGCGAGACCGCAAGGUGGAGCGAAGCCCAAAAAACCUGCCUCAGUUCGGAUUGCAGGCUGUCAAUUCGCCUGCAUGAAGUUGGAAUCGCUAGUAAUCGCGUAUCAGCUAUGACGCGGUGAAUGUGUUCCUGAGCCUUGUACACACCGCCCGUCAAGUGAUGGAAG
rnacentral:rRNA from 1 species